ACGAGAGGGAAGACGGCUUCUCUCUGAAGGGUAGACGGGCCUGCUGGGACGCUCCGGGAGGACUUGGGACAGGCGCUGGGCGGGGUUUCGUCGUUCCGCGGAACGCCGGGAAGGGGUCACUUCCAGAUGAAGGUUCCGGUUCCGGUGCGGGCGGAGGUUGCGUUGCCACGGCAGCGCGGUUGGCCGGCCGCUGGUUCUGGCGUUCCGGGUGGUGGGGGGGCUGGAGCAGGCUUGGAUCCGCCGUUCCCGGCUUAGGUGAGCUUCCCGGAGCUUCAGUAAGGCCGUGGCUGUUCGCGGCGAGAGCAGGGACUGCGCCGGGCUCUGGCGACCAGGCCUGCCCGGGGCUACGGCGUCGGGGCCCGGGCCGUGUGUCGCAGCCCUCCUGUGGUCCCGCUGCCCCCGUGGGAGCAGAGGCCCAGACCCCUUCCCAUGGUUCCCGCCUCUGCAGCGCGAUUAUUUCACUAAAACAACUUUGAUUUUUAAAGUUUGUAAAGAGCUCUCGUCUGUGUGAUCGGGGCUUCGCUGACUUUCCAGCCGACCUAAGCCCCUGGGCUUGGGCCCAGGAAAGGUUGAAUGGGGAACUAAGAAAGGAAUUGGUUCAUUCGACAGACGUUUUCUGAGCAGCUGCUGCGUGCAAGGCACGGUGCCGGCGCGGGACCUGUGCCCAGAGCUUGAGAAAUGAGAAGCAGAGUCAUUGAUUCCAGGUAAAUCAGAGGAACAAACAUCAUACAGAAAUACACAGGACAGUAACAUACAGGAAGCGAUGUGAUGUCGAAGCUUAACUGUUGUUUCAAAAGUCCAGCAUCUGGUGCACCUAACAGUAGGGGCUAUAUUAUUUGCAAAGUCACCUGACUUUUACUCAUACUUAUGUUCUGAAUGAAGAGAAAUGAUGUCCUGUAAAUUUAGUUCAGUCUGGAACACACUGUGGGAGAUACAGGUGAAAAUGGAUUCCUGAAGAGGCACUUAUGAAAAGCCUGGAUGUCACAGCAGAGCCUGAUUCUGUUCUGGGGUUUGGACUGUAGAGGUGUGCAGCCUGGCUUCAGUCCUAAGCAUCACUUACGAGCUCUUUUGGAUUUUCCUUGGAAUUUUCUGCCCCUUACAUCUUCCCCUUCCUGGAUUUGUGAAAAACGUCUUUGUGACAUCUGCAAAAGAUCCCACAUACUGUGGAGCAACUAAGCCCGUGCACCACAACUACUGAGCCUGCACUCUAGAGCCCACAAGCCACAACUACUGAAGCCCGCGCGCCUAGAGCCCGUGCUCCGCAGCAAGAGAAGCCACCGCGAUGAGAAGCCCGUGCACAGCAACAAAAACCCAACUCAGCCAAAAAUAAAAAUAAAUAAAUUUAUUUUUUUAAAAAAAGAAUGAACCAGAAGUAAAAAAAGAAAGAUUGUUAAUAACAUCUUUUUGACAGACUUGAGCACUUUGGGUUCCUCUUUUUACCUUCACAAGCACUUCUUAAAUCUUACUGUGGAAUCGUAGCAAAGCCAGCAAGUCCCACAGAAAAUUAAAUAUUCCUGAAUUAUCUCCAGGGUAUGUAUGUAUUGGAUACAGAUGUGAUUUUUAUGCUUUGUGAAACUAAACUGACAACAAUUUCAAUGCAAAACUCCAAGGAAACAAACAACCCAUAGCUUUUCACUUCUGGAAGUUUCAUUCUCUUUUGUCCCCAUGCUGCUUUUUCUCAGUGAGGCCUGAAGUCUCUGGCUAUAUAUAGGCUUUUAAACUCAGACAUCUGCUGGAUUUUGUUCUAUUGAGAACUUUAUUUCAAGGGAAAGAGCCCAAAUCAUAUCUCCUGUCAGGUAAUAUUAAGAAUUAAGUGGUAAUCAUAAAACAUGUUAAGACUUAAGGUGAUAAAAGAAUUGUUGAAUUUUCCUCAACUGUCUGUUUAGUGAAAGAUUUUAAUGUUUUGUGUUAUGUUUCUUUUUUUUUUUUU